UCCCACAGGGGCACCUGGAGGAGGCGCGCAGGACAGGGAGGGUUAGAACGGCUCAACCCUCAGCUCCCAGCCAAGAGGAGAUUGCCUCACUUAAAGUCCUGGAGACAACUACUGUCAAGUUCAUGUACGGACGCUCACCGACUCUGGACACAAACUCAGCUCAUAACCGACUCCAGAUCUCCUCGGAUCUCAGGACGAUUACAGCGGUCCAUGCCUUCCAGGGUCGCCCCGAACACCCACACCGGUUUGAUGGCUGUGCACAAGCCCUGUGCUGUGAGAGC